UGCGAAUGGCUCAUUAUAUAAGUUAUCGUUUAUUUGAUAGUACCUUACUACUUGGAUAACCGUGGUAAUUCUAGAGCUAAUACAUGCUAAAAAUCCCGACUUCGGAAGGGAUGUAUUUAUUAGAUUAAAAACCAAUGCCCUCUGGGCUCCUUGGUGAUUCAUGAUAACUCUUCGAAUCGCACGGCCUUGCGCCGGCGAUGGUUCAUUCAAAUUUCUUCCCUAUCAACUUUCGAUGUUUGGGUAUUGGCCAAACAUGGUUGCAACGGGUAACGGAGGGUUAGGGCUCGACCCCGGAGAAGGAGCCUGAGAAACGGCUACUACAUCCAAGGAAGGCAGCAGGCGCGCAAAUUACCCAAUCCCGAUUCGGGGAGGUAGUGACAAUAAAUACUGAUACAGGGCUCUUUUGGGUCUUGUAAUUGGAAUGAGUACAAUUUAAAUCCCUUAACGAGGAACAAUUGGAGGGCAAGUCUGGUGCCAGCAGCCGCGGUAAUUCCAGCUCCAAUAGCGUAUAUUAAAGUUGUUGUGGUUAAAAAGCUCGUAGUUGAACCUUGGGCCUGGCUGGCCGGUCCGCCUCACCGCGUGCACUGGUCCGGCCGGGCCUUUCCCUCUGUGGAACCCCAUGCCCUUCACUGGGCGUGGCGGGGAAACAGGACGUUUACUUUGAAAAAAUUAGAGUGCUCCAGGCAGGCCUAUGCUCGAAUACAUUAGCAUGGAAUAAUGAAAUAGGACGCGUGGUUCUAUUUUGUUGGUUUCUAGGACCGCCGUAAUGAUUAAUAGGGACAGUCGGGGGCAUCAGUAUUCAAUUGUCAGAGGUGAAAUUCUUGGAUUUAUUGAAGACUAACUACUGCGAAAGCAUUUGCCAAGGAUGUUUUCAUUAAUCAGGAACGAAAGUUAGGGGAUCGAAGACGAUCAGAUACCGUCGUAGUCUUAACCAUAAACUAUGCCGACUAGGGAUCGGACGAUGUUAUUUUUUGACGCGUUCGGCA
rnacentral:rRNA from 2 species